rnacentral:tRNA from 1 species
UUAAUUGAAGCCAAAAAGAGGCCCUCACUGUUAAUGAGAACAUUGAUUAAUUUAAUCCAAUUAAA